UUUGCCUACGGGGCGCAGCAGUAGGGAAUUUUCGGCAAUGGGCGAAAGCCUGACCGAGCAACGCCGCGUGAGGGAGGAAGUCCUUCGGGAUGUAAACCUCUGUUAUAAAGGAAGAACGGUAACUGCAGGGAAUGGCAGUUAAGUGACGGUACUUUAUGAGGAAGCCACGGCUAACUACGUGCCAGCAGCCGCGGUAAUACGUAGGUGGCGAGCGUUAUCCGGAAUUAUUGGGCGUAAAGAGGGAGCAGGCUGCUGAACAGGUCUGUGGUGAAAGCCCGAAGCUAAACUUCGGUAAGCCAUGGAAA
rnacentral:rRNA from 1 species